rnacentral:rRNA from 1 species
AACGAACGCUGGCGGCAGGCUUAACACAUGCAAGUCGAACGGUAACAGGCCGCAAGGCGCUGACGAGUGGCGAACGGGUGAGUAAUGCAUCGGAACGUGCCCAGUCGUGGGGGAUAACUGCUCGAAAGAGCAGCUAAUACCGCAUACGACCUGAGGGUGAAAGCGGGGGACCGUAAGGCCUCGCGCGAUUGGAGCGGCCGAUGUCAGAUUAGCUAGUUGGUGGGGUAAAGGCCUACCAAGGCAACGAUCUGUAGUUGGUCUGAGAGGACGACCAGCCACACUGGGACUGAGACACGGCCCAGACGCCUACGGGAGGCAGCAGUGGGGAAUUUUGGACAAUGGGCGCAAGCCUGAUUCAGCAAUGCCGCGUGCAGGAAGAAGGCCUUCGGGUUGUAAACUGCUUUUGUCAGGGAAGAAAUCUUCUGGGCUAAUACCCCGGGAGGAUGACGGUACCUGAAGAAUAAGCACCGGCUAACUACGUGCCAGCAGCCGCAGUAAAAC